UGCGUAGGCGGGUCUUUAAGUCAGGGGUGAAAUCCUGGAGCUCAACUCCAGAACUACCUUUGAUACUGAAGAUCUUGAGUUCGGGAGAGGUGAGUGGAACUGCGAGUGUAGAGGUGAAAUUCGUAGGUAUUCGCAAGAACACCAGUGGCGAAGGCGGCUUACUGGUCCAUUACUGACGCUGAGGUGCGAAAGCGUGGGGAGCAAACA
rnacentral:rRNA from 1 species